UACUAUCUGUGACUAUAUCAGAAUCAAAUGGAAAUUGUUUGAAUGAAAAUGUUUUGUUUAGUAUUAGAAAAUUGCUCAGGAUUUAUGCUAAACGGGGUUUUACUGAAGAUAACCUUUCCUUGAACAAAAAAUUACUGGAUGUAAGUCUCUUUGAGAAUCUAUGUAAGGAGAGACAACGGGAGAGACUUCGGAUUUCACAGGUAUCUGUGAAAUCUUAUCUCAGGUUUUUCUUUACCCAAAUGACUGUGGAGCCCAGGGGGCCGGGACGCAGCUGUUGGCUCUUUUGUUUUACCAAGAGAGCAAAUGGUCUUUGAUCUUUGGCGUAAAUUAGGGGGAGUUCCUAAGUUUCUCUGAGUGUUCAAGGUAGCUUCCAGUUGGCCGACGAGAGCUACGCCUUAAGUGAAUAUAUUAAAAAGACAAGACACACCUUUAGUAUAAUACUUCGUGUCAGGAGUAAAAAAUUCAGAGAGCUGCCUCUAUUUUUGCUUUUUUGCAUCGCUCUCUCCAAAGAUGCGUCUUUGUUUUGUUUUUUGUUUGUCUUUGUCUUGUCUGUCUUUGCUCUGCUGGUCUGUCUUCUCUGUGUUUC